AUUGAACGCUGGCGGCAGGCCUAACACAUGCAAGUCGAGCGGAUGAAGGGAGCUUGCUCCUGGAUUCAGCGGCGGACGGGUGAGUAAUGCCUAGGAAUCUGCCUGGUAGUGGGGGAUAACGUCCGAAAACGGGCGCUAAUACCGCAUACGUCCUGAGUGAGAAAGUGGGGGAUCUUCGGACCUGACGCUAUCAGAUGAGCCUAGGUCGGAUUAGCUAGUUGGUGGGGUAAAGGCCUACCAAGGCGACGAUCCGUAACUGGUCUGAGAGGAUGAUCAGUCACACUGGAAGUGAAACACGGUCCAGACUCCUACGGGAGGCAGCAGUGGGGAAUAUUGGACAAUGGGCGAAAGCCUGAUCCAGCCAUGCCGCGUGUGUGAAGAAGGUCUUCGGAUUGUAAAGCACUUUAAGUUGGGAGGAAGGGCAGUAAGUUAAUACCUUGCUGUUUUGACGUUACCAACAGAAUAAGCACCGGCUAACUUCGUG
rnacentral:rRNA from 1 species